UAUCUCUGUAGAGUCUGCAUAUCAAUAAGCGGAGGAAAAGAAACUAACAAGGAUUCCCUUAGUAACGGCGAGUGAAGCGGGAAGAGCUCAAAUUUGAAAUCUUCAAGGUUCUACCUUGACGAAUUGUAGUUUAAAGAAGUGUUUUCUGUUAGAUGAGUAGCAAAAGUUCCUUGGAAUGGGACAUCAUAGAGGGUGAGAAUCCCGUAUUUGGUUAUUCAUUCUAGCUUUGCGAUACACUUUCAAAGAGUCGGAUUGUUUGGGAAUGCAGUCCAAAAUGGGUGGUAAAUUUCAUCUAAAGCUAAAUAUUGGCGAGAGACCGAUAGCGAACAAGUACCGUGAGGGAAAGAUGAAAAGAACUUUGAAAAGAGAGUUAAACAGUACGUGAAAUUGUCAAAAGGGAAGCGUUUGACACCAGUGUUGUUUUUCCGAAAAUCAAUUACGAAUGGCUUGAUUUUGUGUUGUAUUGACCUUAUCAGCUUUCUGCACUUUUUUCGAGUCUUUCUUAGUGCACUUUUCGGUUAACAAGUCAACAUCAAUUUCUUUUGUUGUAAAAGAGUAUUCGGAAGGUGGCUUUCUUUUCGGAGAAAGUGUUUAUAGCCCUAUACUUCUACAAUCGGAGAGAUUGAGGUCUGCAGCGUAGAUCCUUCGGGGUUAGAUACAUUUGUGCUAAGUUGUAGCUUUUCAUAGACAACUUGUUGACUAUGUUUAGUCAUGCGGCUUACUCGCUUAUGCUAUUUUACCUACGCUUAGGAUGUUGACUGAUAUGUAGUCGU
rnacentral:rRNA from 1 species